rnacentral:lncRNA from 1 species
AUCAGAAUUGCCGAGAUGUCACAGCUGGAGUCAGUCAGGGAGCACAGAGGCAGAGAGAAUCAUAGUCUGGAGUCAGCAUGUGCCGAGAAGACAGACAGGUUGUGUUUCUUCUCCUUUUCUUUUUUGUUUGAGAGACAGAUUCUCCCUAGGCAUCCCUGGCUAUUCUUGACCAGACUGGCUUUGAACUCAGAGAGACCCGCUUGCCUCUGCCUUCUGAGUAUGGGGAUUAAAAGCGUAUACAACUAUUCCAGGCUCCCAGGGGCUGCAUCUCAAAAGCACUCUUCCUAAUCCAGCUUUAAUAUUGGACAAGGAAUAUGCUGCUUUGGUACAUGAUUCCAUGAAUUCAGGAAACUUGGUGCUGAUGGGCUUAUUUUAUUAGGGGGAAACAAAAAAAAAAAAAGACCCCAUCAAGGGUUUCUGUAAUGACUAUCCUUUAGGCUCUUGGAGCAGUGUACUGUGUUUUCAAGAGCAGUCAGGCAGUACUGUAGGCAGACCCUUGUGACAUCACUGACAGAGAAUCCCAUAGGAGCAGUAAAUAACCUGAGGUAGAUCUGAACUGGUAGAUUUAACACUGGCCUGACUCCUGUCCUUUUUUAAACUUCCUAUUCCUGUGAUGAAAAGUAAUUUAAUGUCAACCUCUAGUUACUAUAUGCUCUCAGGGAACUUGCCUGCCCCUCUUGUCCUGCCCUCUUACAUAUAACAUCUGGCCUCAGCAUCUGGACGUCUCCGGAUUCCACCUCUUAAUUCAGCUACGUCAAAGUACACAGACAGUAAAGCCAGAGAGGGGUUGAGGUUUGAGCUUUGCAGGGGCCUCUCCUAGGUUUAGGUGGUGCUCCCUGAGUGCUCCCAACCCGACGGAUGACUUCCAUAUUUCCCCACCCUGCCCGUCCUGUAGCAGAAAUGAAAUGCACUACUAAACAGAAUGGUUUUUCCCAAGGGAGUGCUUUUGUAUGGGAGCCACACUUGUGUCAGUUAAAACAGCACAGUGACCGUAAAUGGAAUCCUAAAGUGAACUUUGAAACUUUUCUUUGAUAAACUUUUUUUGGAGGGGGUGGGGGUGGCACAAACUUGUCACACACAACUCUCUCAAUCUCUUGUAGACAUUGUUGCAGACUAUAUAAAUGUAUGUAGCCAUCUUCAUACCAAAUUCAGGGUCUUAUGAGCUAUAGAUCAUUUUGUCUAAGAAUGAUGCUGAAAACUAAAAAACUAUACUUGGCUCUUGUGUAUCAGUGGGUACAUUUCUCUGUCUUGCUUGCUGUCUUUAGCAGGAUGUUACAGCCAUGGAGAGUGGUAGGCUAGGAAUGUUAUGAUGAGAUUAGCAUUAAGAUGGCCAUGAACUCAUUUUUUUAUUUUUUGGGCUACUGUGAUGGAUCUUCUAAUAUUUGUUUUUAAUUUCACAAAAUUAUGGAGCCAAUCAUCCAGGCUCCUUUAGCACUUGUUGCCAGGCCUGAUGGUUCAGGCUCUAAUCUCAGCUUUGGCGCCUGAUAGAGGAAGAUCACAAGUUCAAGGCUUGCCUGGACUACUCUGAGUUCAAGACCAGCUCGUAAGCAGUCAGUUUCCCUGUUGGUCAUUCUAAUUCCUAGAAAUUAAGCUGAGCCAAAUUCUGCCUCCUUGUCAGUUUUACAGUUAGCUUCUAGUUCUGUCUUUCCAAGCAACACAACAUAAUUUUUUAUCAAAUAAAAAUUUAGAGAACAUUUUUCUUUUUUUAAAAAAAGAUUUAUUUAUUUAUUAUAUGUAAGUACACUGUAGCUGUCUUCAGACACUCCAGAAGAUGGAGUCAGAUCUCGUUACGGAUGGUUGUGAGCCACCAUGUGGUUGCUGGGAUUUGAACUCAGGACCUUUGGAAGAGCAGUUGGGUGCUCUUACCCACUAAGCCAUCUCACCAGCCCCCUAGGGAACAUUUUCAUUCAUAGCAAAAUAAGAUAUGUUAUUUCCCCUCUGAUGAAGAUUAAACCCAGUGUCUCAUGCUGGGAAAGAAUUAUAUACCUCAGCCCCAAUGUUUUUUGGUGUGUGUAUUCAUGCAUGCACACACAUAGUUGGUUCUCUUGCUAUGUGGGUUUAAGGAAUGAAGCUGAGGUCACCAGGCCUGGCAGGGACAAGAGUCUUUGAGCCAUAUGUCUGAUCCAUAAGGGAUUUUUGCUUUGUUUUUGUUUUUUGAGGUUUUUUUGGUUUUUUGGUUUUUCGAGACAGGGUUUCUCUGUGUAGCCCUGGCUGUCCUGGAACUCACUCUAUAGACCAGGCUGGCCUCGAACUCAGAAAUCCACCUGCCUCUGCCUCCCAAGUGCUAGGAUUAAAGGCAUGCGCCACCACUGCCCGGCUUGGUUUUUUUGUUUGUUUGUUUUUGUUUGUUUGUUUGUUUGUUUUUUGACAAAGUUUCUAUGAAGCCCUGGCUGUCCUAGAACUCACUUUGUAGACCAGGCUGGUCUUGAACUCAGAGGUCUGCCUGCCUCUGCCUCCUGAGUGCUGGGAUUGGGUAUACCACCACCAACUGGCUGGAUUGUUUCUUUUUAGCAAACAAUACAAAACAAAAACAAAAAGAAGGAAAAAAAGUUGUUUUGCUUUUAUUUGUGUUUGAGGUGGAACCCUGCUAUGUAGCUCAGGCUAGCCUUGAACUCAAUCCUACUGCAACCUUUUCAAAUUCUGGAAUUACAGGUUAAUCCAUCAUGACCAGUUAAAGAUAGUUUUAAAAAGUUCUCCAAGGAACUAUUUAUGUAACUUAUUUAGACAGGUGGGUUUUUCCCCCUCAAUUAAAAGAAAGAAAGAAAGAAAGAAAGAAAGAAAGAAAGAAAGAAAGAAAGAAAGAAAGAAAGAAAGAAAGAAAGAGAGAGAAAAGAAAG